GUUUGAAGAACGACAGUAUUUCAGCUCGCGCGGAGUCUGAGAGAAAAGUGCGACCGAGGGCGAAAAGUUGCGCGCGUCGCUCUCUCAACUUCACAGCGAGGCGGGCGUUCGCUCGCCUCGGACUUUCUGCCGCUGUUUCGCACACUUGAACGGGACCGCCGGGCUCGGUUUUAUUGAAGUUCUCGCGUCCCGUCGCAGGUCCGGUGGGUUCUGCGCGAGGCGCUCCACGCUCGCCGCCGCCGCCGCCGCUGCCGCGUCGAGCCUGACGCAGACGCACCGUGUUUACCGAGAGCUCCUCGCGCCCGGGCUCCGGCGUCACUGUCUCGACUUUGAUGCUUGGAAGUGUUCGGUGAUGCUCGCCGUCGCUGUCGCCUUGUGCGCAGUGUGGCGUUUGGAAACGAAACGAGCGUGUGGAGUAGUUGACAGGAAAGGGAAAACUCUUACCUGGGCUACUUCGCUGUCUUUCGCUGACUUCCAACCUAGGGGACGCGGGCGCCUACGGGCGAGUCGCCCGGAAGAUCUGCCCUGGAGACCGGCUCCAAGUGGGAAGAGGAGUCCUUAAUUGAAUUUCUCGGGUUAGCAGGUGUUGCUUGGAAAACCUGGACUGGAGUUAGAGGUCUUCUCAGCACACCUUACUACUUUAAAGUAUAUAGAUUUGCUUUAGGGCCGCUUUUAUUUCAGAAACAGUUCGCUUUUUGCUUCUAUUUGAUAAAUAAAUAUUAUUGUUGCUAAUUAUACAGCAGGUAGGUUACGCUUUUUUCCAUGCUAACUGGUUAGCAAACCACCUGCUAGCUUACAGCAUUAAACAUUAAAAACAAUUCGCUUUGCUAUUCAACUGCUAAAUAAACCAUAACGUUUUUGUGUUGUCUCGUUUUGUUCUGGUUGUGGGUUCUAAGUGGUCAGACUUACCUCAAUUAAGUUUCCAUUGCACGUCAGUGACGCUGCCAUUUAGGUCAGUAACGGCCGCAUAAGCCCCGCCCCCUAUCCAGCUGCCUGUCAAUCAUCUGAUGCAAUUAUCAUCACGCGUGGUUUUUAGGAAAGCUGAACAUUUAAUAAACGUGUUCACUAAUGAGGUAGUCGACUAAAAGUUUACUACAUGACAUGGACUCGUGAUCAUUCAUUGAACCCUGCUUAAAUGUAGUAGAAACAGCUUUUAAAGGAAGAAAAUUGUUACUUAAGUAAAAUUCUGAUGUACUGUAAGAAAACUCUAAUACUUGCUGCUAAUGCGUUCUGUUCCAAAAUGUAAAGCAUGUACGUGUGAUAAUAUUUUUAUUCUUAUGUACUGUAGUGGAUCUGAAUGAGAUGAAUGGGAGUAAUGCUGAACCGAAUUAAGACUGUGAAGCCGAACAAUGAGCUGAAAUGAGCUACAAACCACAUUUAGUAUUCUCUGUUGGUUCUUUACUAUGAGAGAAUGCAUCUACUGUAAAUGUAGUAAUUAGUGCACUUGUGAACACUGGGAUUAAUGUCUCAUUUAUAACUAAUAUGCUUAUGUUUGUGACAUAAUUGAUAUUUAUGCAUUAUUAAGGUCUUUAAACUAAAACAUUAAACACAUUGGCAUUUCACAAAAAGCCUA